rnacentral:rRNA from 1 species
AGAGUUUGAUCAUGGCUCAGGAUGAACGCUAGCUACAGGCUUAACACAUGCAAGUCGAGGGGCAGCAUGUUGGUUGCUUGCAACCAAUGAUGGCGACCGGCGCACGGGUGAGUAACGCGUAUCCAACCUACCCUUGUCCAUCGGAUAACCCGUCGAAAGGCGGCCUAACACGAUAUGCGGUUCUCAGCAGGCAUCUAACGAGAACGAAAUGUGAAGGAGAAGGAUGGGGAUGCGUCUGAUUAGCUUGUUGGCGGGGUAACGGCCACAAGGCGACGAUCAGUAGGGGUUCUGGAGAGGAACGGUCCCCCANAUUGGAACUGAGACACGGUCCAAACUCCUACGGGAGGCA